GAGUUCAAUUAUUCGAUCGAUGAUGAUUAAUUAACAAGUGCAUUCAUUCAGGCACAAAGCGGUAUAUGUAUACUAAUCGACCGAAUUGCAGCCGAUCACGAAUCAUCCGAUCGGGAGCGUGAAAUUUGGCACAUGGUCAACAGAGUACAUAUGUGUUGCAGGUCUUCCGUCUUGGAUUCGACGGCAGUUCGGCUUCGGCGACAGGAGCGGCGACAUCAGAGGCGACAUCAGAAGCGACAUUAGUAGUAACGCAGGUUCAUCAGAGCGACGAUGGAGAGAGGGAACGAUGCCCAUUGCGCGAUGCAAGCAAAUCAGGACAUGAACGAGUCUCUCCAAAGAUCGACUCCUCUCCAUCCUGUUCCGGUAGAGAUGGAUCUGCAACACAUGAGACGUACAACUCCUUUUUUUUGCGGAGGUCGCAUAUCCUCCAACUUAUGACCCCCUGGACUUCCCCUGUUCAUCAGGGGGAGUCCAGGGACCCGUCCCCUGGGACUGCGCGGCCUCCCACCGCCCCCGGGGUCCCAGG
rnacentral:misc_RNA from 1 species